UAGACCUGAAUGGUGCCUGCCCGUCUCUCGACUUGUCGGCGGCAGAUCAGAGCAGUCAACGAGGCACGACGAGCCGCAGGCCCAUGGCUGGAUAAAGAGGCCAUUUUCAAGGACCCGUUCAGGAGGGGUGACAACCUCCUUGUUAUGUGCGACUGCUACACACCAGAAGGUGUUCCAAUCCCCACCAACAAGAGGCACAAUGCUGCCAAGAUCUUCCACACCCCGAAGGUUGCAGC